rnacentral:rRNA from 1 species
AUGGCGGUGUCUUGGCGGCAUUACUUUGUUGUUUGUUGGGAGCAUCGUGCGGGGAGACAUGACUUGAAGGUUUCAUGUUGCGGUUCUUCGGUGCUCGUCGCGGGUCCAGAUAAAUCUUUAUCGGCGCAAUAUCGUGCGUGCGUACGAGCGAGGCCUCCUGCCCUCGAGCGCCUAUUGACACACGCCCUAGAUCAGAUCCCGCCGACGACUGCCCCUCCUCAGCGUCCUCCCGCCGCCCUCCCCUUCGAUCUGAUCUCCUUCGCACCCCGCCGUCGCCGGCGACUCCUCGGCGCCUCGCCGUCGCCGGCGACUCCUCGGCGCCUCGCCGUCGCCGUCACAUCAGACGCCGGCCACUCCUCCACGGCCUCACGCUGUCGUCCUCUCCUUCGCAAGGAACACCCGACCCUUCCUCCGCGGCCUUGUGACGCCGACUACUCCUUCGUGGCCUCACGCCGCCCUCCUCUCCCUCCUUCCUUCAGACUCAACGUCGGCGCAGCAGCAACAGUCCUUGCGACGGUGGGUGCCGGAGCUUGUCAAGCAACUCACCGUCGGCGGCCACGACUACCUCAUUCCCUGCCGUGCGUCUCCGUCAACUACUGUGGCAUUGACGACAGCGAGCUAGGAGCCUACGAGGUAGACGCCCUGUUGACUGUGUCGUCAAGGCCUCCACAUGGCUCCUCUUGCGGCAGACUGCUGGUUGUUUGUCAUGUCCUUGAUCACCCUAAUUUAAUCCAAGUCAGGGUGACCCAGAAGUUCCCUUUCAUCAGCAGUUACAGAGCAUUCAGAGUUCCGAGCUCUGUCGACGUCGCCAGCCUUGUGAAAUGCCAACUCGUCGCUUCUUUCGGUGGUAAUUCUCGAUUCUUUGCACCCUUACAUGCAGAUUCAGAGAUGAGUGUCAAAUUCUUCAGACAAGUUCUGAGACAGAGCAAGAUCCUUACAUACUACUUGUGUGCAGCUGACGGGAAACACGUAGAUGUUACUGGACUGCAAUUACCCGGCGUGCUGGAUGACAUGUUUGCAUACACAGGACCGCUCGGUGCGGUUUUCAGCAAGGACUCUGUGAGCCUGCACCUUUGGGCUCCUACAACACAGGUUUGGCUUCUAAAGACGACACAUUUUACCAUCUCAAGUGUCGCCUCCGGUUCUGUACUAUUCCCGCUUAUAUGUAAAAUGUCCCCAAUAUAUCUUGCAAGAUGUGAGUGUGUGGUUCUUGGAUGGUUCGCCGGCCCUGCUCUAGAGACGGUGCAGCUCAAGGAGUCAAAUGCUGGUGACCUUUAUGCUAGAGGCCUUUCUGCAAAUGGAGCGCGAACCUGGUUGGUUGACAUUAACAAUGAAACAUUGAAGCCAGCUUCCUGGGAUGAAUUGGCCGAUGAGAAGCCAAAACUUGAUUCCUGCUUUGACAUAACCAUCUACGAAUUGCACAUUCGUGAUUUUAGGCCUCGGCAGGAAUGUUUGACUCAUGUGCAUUUGUUGCCAAGCUUUCAUUUUGCUGGCGUUGACGACAUUAAGAGCAACUGGAAAUUUUUCGAUGAGUGUGAACUAGCAACAUUCCCUCCAGGAUCAGAUAUGCAACAAGCAGCAGUAGUAGCUAUUCAGGAAGAGGACCCUUUUAAUUGGGGAGAUGCAGACGAGAGGAAGAGAGCCUCCCCCAAGCUAUGUCUAGGCGAUGCACAGGCGACGGCCACCCUUCCUGUUAUUGCCUCCAUGGCUGACUGCUCAUCCUCAGUAACCUCCCCCCCUCACGUGCGCCACACUCUGGGAUUAAGUUUAUCAAUCAUGCAAUUUGUUGUUAGCAACAUGUACCAGAUUUUGAUAGGUGAAUUAUCGCAAGUUAGUCCCGUGUUGAUCAUCUUCAAAGAACAGAAAACGUUGCGAGCCGAAUGCGUCAUCGACGAGGAGGUGAGUUUGGAUUUGGACGGUGAAGAUGAGAAGAUAGUUGGGGAGGAAGAAGGUGGUGGCAUAAAUGGGGUGGUUGUGCUGCAUGUCCAAGGCUGCACUAGGGAGGCGCGAGCGGUGCCUCCCGCAAGAUUCCAUUGGGGCGACGCAUGGGCGGCAGCCACCCCCAAGACCCUGCAUGUUGCAACCACUAACAAGUCCAGUCACCAUCACAUGUUUACUGCGUGGAUUCCAUAUUUGUCACAAUAUUGGCAUAAUCGACAUGUAUCGUUCUCCGCCGCCCUCCCAUCGAUCUGCGGCCGAUCCCUGCGGAGCUUCCCUUCCCAAUCCGAUCUGACGGAGAGAGUGCCAGAUCCGGCCGGGAGAGCCGCUGUAGAGCCUCCACGUCGGUGGAGCAGCACCUCCUGCCACGGGCGCCGCCGCCACCUCCUGCCUCACGACCCUUUGCCGCGACUCCGCCCCCAAGCGCCGCUCCCGCACGCAACCCGAACCCUAUCCCGCCAUGCUUCGCUGCCUCGCCGCUUGAACCGCGCUGAUGGAGCCCGAGCAGCGGUGGCCGACCCCGUCGCCGCCGCCGAGCCUGUGGACGAGGAGAAGGAGAAGGAGGAGGAGACAGAGGCGGCCGAGGACGAGGAGGACACGCUGCUGGACCGCGCGCAGCCUGAUCUCACGGGUCCCUUUGCACAUGUGCAGUUCGUCAAUGGACCAAUGCCUAAUCUCCCCAAGGUUGAUGUUUCACUGGACCCGGUGAAGGAGUUGAGCAGACCAGGUUAUUUUACGAGGGUUGUGUGCACUGAACCCCAUUUCUCUGGACCAAGGGACGAUGAACAAGAUGGGAAUGAGGAGGAUGCUACUAAUCCGGAGUAGUAAUAUUGGAUUACAGGUCAUGGGUUAGUAGUUAACUGCAGAAAUCAGAAUAUUGGAUAGCAGUAACUAAGGCCAUUGGCAAUUUCUUUCAUAUAUCAUAAUUUAUUUGUGUAAUUCCUUUACCAACUACAUGUUUCUAUUUGUUUCCUAUAUUUUGUUUGUUCCUGAAUAUUUUAUGAAUUGUGUAUUUCUAUUUUAAUACAUAAGACUCUUUUUCAUGCAAUUUACUCAAUGGCCUAUAUGAGAAGCCCUAAAUAAAGCUAUUCCUCAUUUGUACGCUUUCUUACUUAUAUAGAUCAAAAUAUGGAAUUCUCUGCAGGUUAACUAAUACAUGCAUCAGCUUUGUAUCAUAAAGAUUUCACCAUCCCAAGGUAAUGGAAAUAAGUUCACAAGAUUCUCAUGUUGAGGUCUGUACAAAGAGAUACAAGGCAAUGUCUGUGUGCUGGAAGGAGAAACUCACUGCCAAAGCUAUAAUCCCUGAUGCUAAAGCCUGCAUGUUCAGAUCUGCAGAGUUUACUCAUAUUACUGUAUGAAUGAUUAAUACAGAGGGAGCCCUUUUGUCAGGUCAUUUAAUCAUUAAAUCAUACGUACAUUAUCUCAGGUAACUUACUACUACCUUUGUUCGAAAAUAAGUGCCGUUAACUUAGUACACCUUUGCACUAAAAUUGUACUAAAUCCGUGACACUUAUUUUGGGACAGAGGGAGUAUUUCAUUUUCUACCUGAACCAAGUUGUUAUUUCAUUUCUAAGAGGCAAAGAGUUCCUCAUGGUUAGUUUGCCACAUUUUAUAUGUCUAUCUAUGUGCAUUACUAAUUCACUAUAUGCACCUUUAGUUCCCAGUUUUGGCUCACUUUCUUGAUGCAUCUCGGAUGAGAGGAAAGGAAUGGAUAAUCUGACAAGCAAUGUUCGGGCAUACCCUUAUAUUUACGUCUGAUGAAAUGCUGCGGGUGCAAACUAAUCAAGACUGCUGCCAUGAGCAAAAGAGCAGACAUUACUUAUGAGAAAACAAUAAAAGAAUCUUCCGUGACUACAUACCACGACGAGUCAAAGACGAUGAAAGCACUACUCCAUUGGUGGUGUUAGCAAGUGGAGUCUGGAGGGAGAACAACACAAAGUAGGAAAUUGAUUCCCUCGCCCUUGCUUGCUUCAACGACCCCGUCCGUCUUGGUGGGGUCGAUUCCCCCAUCGCCCGACUCAUCUCCGACGAGUAUGGCGUCAGUGGGUACGCCCCGCCGUUCGUAUGCUUGGCGGGUCCCAGAACACCCGUGACGUGUAUGAGCUUGACUAGGGCGAGGGGCUCGUGCUCGUGCUCGAGCUCGACAAGACGCACUUCGAUCUCGUCACCAACUACGAGCUGGACUGUGAGACUCCAGAGCAGGCGGGGGCGACGAAGACGAAAGUGGGGGCAGUUCGAGCUUGUCGCUGCCGGAGACCCUGGAGAGGUGCGCGAAGAGACCUGGUUAGAUUUGUUGGCCACCACUGGUAAACUGCACUAAUAACAAAUCGGAUGUCAUCUCUCAUGUUGCCGAUUCAACCCUGGACGAUGUUGCGCGGCCAUGGACGAUGUGCUGUUGGACAACGAUG